CCCAACGUGACAUUAACAUGUUUCCAUGCAUCUCCAUCCUCAUAGGAACGGCUCGUGUCCAUAUUGCAUAAACCUGGCUUAGAAAAAGGACGAUACUUGAAGGAUCACUAUAGUGUCGGAAAACUAAGCGGUUUUCCUGACACUAUAGUGCCCUGAGGGUGGCGCUGGUGAUCUCUCCUCCCCCGCCAACGUCAGCUCCCUCUGCCGACGUCAGCGGAUCCGAAUGCGCAUGAAAGCAUUUCUCAAUGCUUUACUAUGGACGCUCUCCGUG